UACGCCGAUGCCGAUGCCGAUGCCGAUGCCUCUUUUCUUCACCCGAUCCUUUCUUCUCCUCAUCCAUCGCCGAUCUUAUCUCGCAUCUCUCUCUCCAUUGCUCCCACACACGACCUUGCCAUGUCGCCCUGAUCGCUGACGUUGCGACCCUUGCCUCGCCACCGACCACAGUCGAUGGUCGUUGCCCAGCCCAAGUAAUGCGGGUCGUACCCUAGCUUCGCAUCGCUGCAUCGACAUCGUCCCUUACUUCUCAAGCCGACAUCGUCAGCCAUGGUGUGAACACCGUCACUGACUCCUCUUCGGCAAUGAGCAAGAGCCGUUAGCCUCCCUAGUGUGACUCCCUCUCUCCAUAUCGUGUGGCGCCCAUCGCACCUUUGAAGCCGCCCCUGCCCGAUCAUUGGUCAUCGUCACCCUGAUGUCGCCUACCUCCUCCCCUUUUCCUAUCAUGGAAGGGGGUUACUAUCGUCUGAGGUGGGAUUGUAAUCGGAGAGCCAAGACGUUAUGGGAGGUCGAGCUGCCACCAUUUCACUGUCAAUGCCGUCGAGCCUUAGCCUCGUGUUUCUUCCGAUCUCGUCUUCUCCUCUCCACUGCUGCCAGUAGCUAGCUCUGCCAACAGCCAGUCCUAAUUAGUGCUACUCCGGCGCAGUGAACCACCAAAGAGGAAGGAGGUCAUCUGUUGAUUUGGGUAACGAAUUUCAUUUGUUUAUUUUAAUUUAGUGAUGACAUAUCUCUGUUCAUAUCUUCCUAGAACUGUAACCUCGAAGAUGUUCGGAGUAUUACCUAGGAGGGAUUCAUUCCACCAUAAGUUUUGGUUGGAGAAGGAGAACAGUGUUUGGGACGUUGAUUCGAGACAAGCGUCUCGACGAGGGAUUUGGUUUAGCACGAUCGACAGAUAAAGACGGGUAGCAGGUAAAGGAUUUAUGGAGUCGCCUGGAGAUCCUAUCUGCUCGUCCCAUGUCACAACGAGCGACUUUUCUGUUAUUGCUUCUGUUUGCAUUAUUAACUUUGGACUUGUUUGUGUAUAUAUAUCUUUUAUAUGGAGUUUAGUUUUGUGGUUUCCUGUAUUUGUGUUAGUGUGGUUUGUUGUUGUUGUGUCAAGCCGGGCCGGCUCGCAAUUAGUUGUAUUAUGGUUUUGCGUUCGUUAUUUUGUGUCUUCCGUUGUGUUUUGCUACAAC